GCUGCAGUUUCAGCUGCAGCUGCGGUGGGAUGCGUCCGAAAUAGCGCCGCUGCAGCCGACGCUUGUUGGAGACUUCGUCCCCGUGGCUGGACUCUGAGAGCGUUGUGGUAUCAUCCAGAGAUCGCGGUACCACACCAAAGUCGGCAUGGCACAUGGAUAUGACAGAUAUUAGCGAUGUCUUACUGCACUCUACAUCGACAAAUGGGAGAUGCUCCUGAAGACACAUGCCCUCUCUCAGCACAGCAGCGACCUCACACGGAGUCCAAGGAGCUAUCUCCAAGAUCAAUCAAAGAACCCACAGUUAUGGCUGGACGAUUGUAGUUUCGUCUGGUCAGAACAAUAGUGUAACGAUAGCAAGAGUGAGACUUUUUUCGAAAUCAUCUAUGGUCGUCGUGACUUUAAAUGUCAGUCUAUGCAGUCCCUGCUUGGUGAGCUCCACAGAUACAUUUUGUCAUUUCAGUAUAUGUUAAAAUUAAAGCAUGUUGAAAUUA